GACAGAGGUGCCGAGCGUUAGGCGGAAUCACUGGGCUUAAAGCGCGUGUAGGCGGCCCGGUAAGUCCGCUGUGAAAGUCGGGGGCUCAACCCUCGGAAGCCGGUGGAUACUGUCGGGCUCGAGUACGGAAGAGGCGAGUGGAAUUCCUGGUGUAGCGGUGAAAUGCGCAGAUAUCAGGAGGAACACCAAUUGCGAAGGCAGCUCGCUGGGACGUAACUGACGCUGAGGAGCGAAAGCCAGGGGAGCAAACGGG
rnacentral:rRNA from 1 species